GCAAACGGGAUGCAUAUUUGGAACAGAAGCACAUCAACUGGGAUCUCUGUAAAUGGAUGAUACUCACGUGAUGUCCAGAGGAAAAAUCGAUGGAGCUACUCGCAUGGCCAGUUUGACAGGUAAGAAAACAAGUAUCACAAUCAAGCUUCCAUACACAGCAACAGACAGAAGAACUCGCCGGGCAUGUUUAUGCACAGGAUCAUCAAUCAAAUCCCUAAACGGAUUGUAAUUUGGAUCGGCAGGGUCCCGCAAGAAAUAAAGAACACCAUUGCGCACAAUACCCCUCGAAGAAGGCUGACAAAUAUGCUUAUUUGAAGCAUAUAUAUAAUCCCAACAAGCCAAUGGAUAGAGGAGCUUGCCAAGGGUGACAUCGUGAAGAAUUCAACUCUUUGAGCAAUUGUUGCACCCAGCAUCUUUAAGGUGCAUACAUCAAGCCACCAACCGCACAUAAGGGGAAAUACACCAAGUUCAAUCACCAAAAGGAAUGCAACUUUGACCAUAGUCAUGAGAUGCUUCAUUCCAGCAAAGAAUUGCCUGCAUAGAGAUGGGAUAGCCUCUAAAAUGGUAGCUAUACCGUAGAGCCUCCCAAUGGUGAAACGUUCUCCCCUAGCAUACCGCAGUAAAGCCAAUGAUCCAAUGUACAAAAACACAAGGCAAAAGAUAAACAUAUAUCCCACAGCAAGAGUUGUCAGAUCAGAAAGAUAGGAUGAGCCAAUAGCAGUUCCUUUUAUCAGACUACUCUUCCCAGAGGCCUGCAUUACAGUAAGACCAGUGGCAUUUAUCUUCAAUGAUUGAGUAACCACCUCAAUGACAUGACCAAUGACACCUUCAUUAUGGCUGUCAGCAGAUAAGUUCUUCACGGCAUUAAGUGCACUCUUCAAUGUAUCAUUAGCCAAUGAAAUAGCAGUUUCCGUAAACGGCAUCAUUCUUGCCAGCAUAGGACUAGAGGCUGAAGAGAAGAACCAUGAUAGAUAGUACAGGACAAUCCUUCCCAAUGAGAAUGGUACGAAGAUCACAACAAUGAGGAAUAUAGCAUUGCUGGCCAGAACUGUUAUUGCGUUCUCAACCAAGUGGAAAACAGGGCCUUGCAUGCCUACAAGUUCAUCAAAAGGAACAUCCUCUGCACCAUCUGCAUCAUCCAAACCAUCUAGCAUCUGCUCGACUUGAGCUUCAAGUCGUUCUAAUCGAGCAGCAACAUUUUCUGCAUUUCUUCUCAAAAGUUCACCAGCACCAAGUCCUUGGGCUUCUGCUAAUUCGUCAACGUUUCCAUCUGCAGCAGGAACCCUGUUAUUAGGACCAGGUAGCCUUCUGACAGCUCGUGCACCAUGCCUUUCACGGCCCCCAUCAUCCCUCUCAGCAUCAUGCCCUCCAAGUUCCCGCAAGUGUCUUAUAUAGUCCCUUAAAGAGGUAGCUCCAAGAAAUAUAAGGACAAUAAUAGCUGAGAGAAGAAAACCAUGUAAACAGUCACUUAGGAUCAACUGAGCGCUGAUAUGACUCAAGAAUAGCCUCUGUGCUUCACCAAGACUUCUCACGAAUGUUAACCUCCAUAUCCAGUAAGUGAUGAAGGGGAUAAUCAUGAGCCAAACUGAAAGAACAAAGGCAAGCCGGAGGACAAACUGAAGCACAUGGCACGCUUUCAUCCCAACACCAACAAUAAGUUCUUGGAAGGGGAGUCUUGACGGAGCAUUGUCAGCAUAGACGGGCGAGAAAGAGAAUGCAUGGUUCCGUACCUCGCACUGGCGGGAGUUGCUGUGGUCGAGCCACUGGAGGAGGCAGUCCUGGUGCACGAACUUGAUGCUGCCGCUGCAGGCGCACGGGUACCGGAGCGGGUGCUCGUCGUCCCCCGGGUUCCGGCAGAUCCGGCACACGUCCCCUUCCUCCUCCUCCUCGUCCUCCUCCGCCACCG
rnacentral:sRNA from 1 species